GGGUUGAUGAAGGUAGGUGGGUGGGGGAUGGGCUAGAUGGGUGAUGAGUAUUAAGUAUGGCCUUUGUUGUGAUGUGCACUGGGUGUUAUAUGUAAGUGAUGAAUCACUGAUUUUUACUUCUGAAACCAAUAUUGCACUGUAUGUUAACU